rnacentral:rRNA from 1 species
CCUACGGGGGGCAGCAGUGAGGAAUCUUGGUCAAUGGACGAGAGUCUGAACCAGCCAAGUAGCGUGAAGGAUGACUGCUCUAUGGGUUGUAAACUUCUUUUAUAUGGGAGUAAAAUGUUCCACGUGUGGGAUUUUGUAUGUACCAUAUGAAUAAGGAUCAGCUAACUCCGUGCCAGCAGCCGCGGUAAUACGGAGGAUCCGAGCGUUAUCCGGAUUGAGUGGGUUUAAAGGGAGCGUAGGUGGAUUGUUAAGUCAGUUGUGAAAGUUUUCGGCUCAACCGGAAAAUUGCAGUUGAAACUGGUAGUCUUGAGUACAGUAGAGGUGGGCGGAAUUCGUGGUGUAGCGGUGAAAUGCUUAGAUAUCACGAAGAACUCCGAUUGCGAAGGCAGCUCACUGGACUGCAACUGACACUGAGGCUCGAAAGUGUGGGUAUCAAACAGGAUUAGAUACCCUAGUAGUC